CCUACGGGAGGCAGCAGUGGGGGAUAUUGGACAAUGGGGGGAACCCUGAUCCAGCGACGCCGCGUGAGUGAAGAAGUAUUUCGGUAUGUACAGCUCUGUCAGCAGGGAAGAAAGAAAUGACGGUACCUGACCAAGAAGCCACGGCUAACUACGUGCCAGCCGCCGCGGUAAUACGUAGGGGGCAAGCGUUAUCCGGAAUUACUGGGUGAACAGGGAGCUUAGACGGUUAAGUAAGUCGGGAUGGAAAGGCCGGGGCCCAACUCUGGGACUGUGCUGGAAACUAUUCAGCUUGAGUGCAGGAGAGGUAAGCGGAAUUCCUAGUGUAGCGGUGAAAGGCGUAGAUAUUAGGAGGAACACCAGUGGCGAAGGCGGCUGACUGGACUGGAACUGACGUUGAGGCUCGAAAGCGUAGGGAGCAAACAGGAUUAGAUACCCCAGUAGUC
rnacentral:rRNA from 1 species